rnacentral:rRNA from 1 species
GACGAACGCUGGCGGCGUGCUUAACACAUGCAAGUCGAACGGAAAGGCCCUGCUUUUGUGGGGUGCUCGAGUGGCGAACGGGUGAGUAACACGUGAGUAACCUGCCCUUGACUUUGGGAUAACUUCAGGAAACUGGGGCUAAUACCGGAUACGAGCUCCUGCUGCAUGUUGGGGGUUGGAAUGUUUCGGCGGUUGGGGAUGGACUCGCGGCUUAUCAGCUUGUUGGUGGGGUAGUGGCUUACCAAGGCUUUGACGGGUAGCCGGCCUGAGAGGGUGACCGGCCACAUUGGGACUGAGAUACGGCCGAGACUCCUACGGGAGGCAGCAGUGGGGAAUAUUGCACAAUGGGCGGAAGCCUGAUGCAGCAACGCCGCGUGCGGGAUGAAGGCCUUCGGGUUGUAAACCGCUUUCGCCUGUGACGAAGCGUGAGUGACGGUAAUGGGUAAAGAAGCACCGGCUAACUACGUG